rnacentral:rRNA from 1 species
GAUGAACGCUGGCGGCGUGCCUAAUACAUGCAAGUCGAGCGAACGGACGAGAAGCUUGCUUCUCUGAUGUUAGCGGCGGACGGGUGAGUAACACGUGGAUAACCUACCUAUAAGACUGGGACAACUUCGGGAAACCGGAGCUAAUACCGGAUGAUAUUUUGAACCGCAUGGUUCAAAAGUGAAAGACGGUCUUGCUGUCACUUAUAGAUGGAUCCGCGCUGCAUUAGCUAGUUGGUAAGGUAACGGCUUACCAAGGCAACGAGGCAUAGCCGACCUGAGAGGGUGAUCGGCCACACUGGAACUGAGACACGGUCCAGACUCCUACGGGAGGCAGCAGUAGGGAAUCUUCCGCAAUGGGCGAAAGCCUGACGGAGCAACGCCGCGUGAGUGAUGAAGGUCUUCGGAUCGUAAAACUCUGUUAUUAGGGAAGAACAUAUGUGUAAGUAACUGUGCACAUCUUGACGGUACCUAAUCAGAAAGCCACGGCUAACUACGUG